CGAUACAGGGUGACAGCCCCGUACACAAAAAUGCACAUACUGUGAGCUCGAUGAGUAGGGCGGGACACGUGGUAUCCUGUCUGAAUAUGGGGGGACCAUCCUCCAAGGCUAAAUACUCCUGACUGACCGAUAGUGAACCAGUACCGUGAGGGAAAGGCGAAAAGAACCCCGGCGAGGGGAGUGAAAAAGAACCUGAAACCGUGUACGUACAAGCAGUGGGAGCACGCUUAGGCGUGUGACUGCGUACCUUUUGUAUAAUGGGUCAGCGACUUAUAUUCUGUAGCAAGGUUAACCGAAUAGGGGAGCCGAAGGGAAACCGAGUCUUAACUGGGCGUUAAGUUGCAGGGUAUAGACCCGAAACCCGGUGAUCUAGCCAUGGGCAGGUUGAAGGUUGGGUAACACUAACUGGAGGACCGAACCGACUAAUGUUGAAAAAUUAGCGGAUGACUUGUGGCUGGGGGUGAAAGGCCAAUCAAACCGGGAGAUAGCUGGUUCUCCCCGAAAGCUAUUUAGGUAGCGCCUCGUGAAUUCAUCUCCGGGGGUAGAGCACUGUUUCGGCAAGGGGGUCAUCCCGACUUACCAACCCGAUGCAAACUGCGAAUACCGGAGAAUGUUAUCACGGGAGACACACGGCGGGUGCUAACGUCCGUCGUGAAGAGGGAAACAACCCAGACCGCCAGCUAAGGUCCCAAAGUCAUGGUUAAGUGGGAAACGAUGUGGGAAGGCCCAGACAGCCAGGAUGUUGGCUUAGAAGCAGCCAUCAUUUAAAGAAAGCGUAAUAGCUCACUGGUCGAGUCGGCCUGCGCGGAAGAUGUAACGGGGCUAAACCAUGCACCGAAGCUGCGGCAGCGACGCUUAUGCGUUGUUGGGUAGGGGAGCGUUCUGUAAGCCUGCGAAGGUGUGCUG
rnacentral:rRNA from 1 species